AUUGAACGCUAGCGGGAUGCUUUACACAUGCAAGUCGAACGGCAGCGCGGACUUCGGUCUGGCGGCGAGUGGCGAACGGGUGAGUAAUGUAUCGGAACGUGCCCAGUAGCGGGGGAUAACUACGCGAAAGCGUAGCUAAUACCGCAUACGCCCUACGGGGGAAAGCAGGGGAUCGUAAGACCUUGCACUAUUGGAGCGGCCGAUAUCGGAUUAGCUAGUUGGUGAGGUAACGGCUCACCAAGGCGACGAUCCGUAGCUGGUUUGCGAGGACGACCAGCCACACUGGGACUGAGACACGGCCCAGACUCCUACGGGAGGCAGCAGUGGGGAAUGUUGGACAAUGGGGGCAACCCUGAUCCAGCCAUCCCGCGUGUGCGAUGAAGGCCUUCGGGUUGUAAAGCACUUUUGGCAGGAAAGAAACGUCGCGGGCUAAUACCCCGUGGAACUGACGGUACCUGCAGAAUAAGCACCGGCUAACUACGUG
rnacentral:rRNA from 1 species